CAAAGAUUACGUGAAAUAAAUGUCGGAAAAUGCAGGAAAUUGUUCGCCAGCAGAUGUCUGGAGAAACUGCUAUUAAAUUAACAUAUAAGAUGAGAGGCUGUGUUGGAGCACUGUGUGGCGUUACAGGCGGGGACGCGUCGCGUCUCUAUGGCAACGGGUUGUUCCGCCAUCUUGCUCGGCUUUUUGUGCCGACGACCACCCAACACGAACUCGCUACAUUAUUUUAUUGUACAAUAAACAAAUUUAUUGCUCCAUA
rnacentral:lncRNA from 1 species